rnacentral:rRNA from 1 species
AUCAACGCUGGCGGCGUGCCUAACACAUGCAAGUCGAACGAGAAAGUGGAGCAAUCCAUGAGUAAAGUGGCGACCGGGUGAGUAACACGUGACUAACCUACCUCCGAGUGGGGAAUAACUCCGGGAAACCGGGGCUAAUGCCGCAUAACAUCGCAAGAUCAAAGCAGCAAUGCGCUUGGAGAGGGGGUCGCGGCUGAUUAGCUAGUUGGCGGGGUAACGGCCCACCAAGGCGAAGAUCGGUAUCCGGCCUGAGAGGGCGCACGGACACACUGGAACUGAAACACGGUCCAGACUCCUACGGGAGGCAGCAGUGGGGAAUUUUGCGCAAUGGGGGAAACCCUGACGCAGCAACGCCGCGUGGAGGAUGAAGCCCUUUGGGGCGUAAACUCCUUUCGACCAAGACGAUAAUGACGGUACUGGUGGAAGAAGCACCGGCUAACUCUGUGCCAGCAGCCGCGGUAAUACAGAGGGUGCGAGCGUUGUUCGGAAUUAUUGGGCGUAAAGGGCGCGUAGGCGGUGCCACAAGUCACUUGUGAAAUCUCCGGGCUUAACUCGGAGCUUGCAGGCGAAACUGUGGUGCUGGAGUGUGGGAGAGGUGCGUGGAAUUCCCGGUGUAGCGGUGAAAUGCGUAGAUAUCGGGAGGAACACCUGUGGCGAAAGCGGCGCACUGGACCAUAACUGACGCUGAGGCGCGAAAGCUAGGGGAGCAAACAGGAUUAGAUACCCUGGUAGUCCUAGCCCUAAACGAUGAUUGCUUGGUGUAGCAGGUACCCAAUCCUGCUGUGCCGCAGCUAACGCGAUAAGCAAUCCGCCUGGGGAGUACGGUCGCAAGGUUGAAACUCAAAGGAAUUGACGGGGGCCCGCACAAGCGGUGGAGCAUGUUGUUUAAUACGUCACGAACCGUAGAACCUUACCAGGGCUUGACAUCUGGCGCACCGGUGUGAAAGCAUCGUUCCCGGAAACGGGACGCCAAGACAGGUGUUGCAUGGCUGUCGUCAGCUCGUGUCGUGAGAUGUUGGGUUAAGUCCCGCAACGAGCGCAACCCUCAUCCCAUGUUGCCAGCGGAUGAUGCCGGGAACUCUUGGGAAACUGCCGGGGUAACUCGGAGGAAGGUGAGGAUGACGUCAAGUCAGCAUGGCCCUUACGCCCUGGGCUACAAACAUGCUACAAUGGACGGUAGACAGAGGGAUCCAAGACCGUGAGGUGGAGGCAAUCCCACAAAUCCGUUCUCAGUUCGGAUUGCAGGCUGCAACUCGCCUGCAUGAAGUCGGAAUCGCUAGUAACCGCAGAUCAGCGAAGCUGCGGUGAAUACGUUCCCGGGCCUUGUACACACCGCCCGUCACGUCACCUGAGUUGUCUGCACCCGAAGCCGGUGGGGUAACCGCAAGGAGCCAGCCGUCGAAGGUGUGGGGAGCGAGGGGGACG